UCUCUCUUUCUCUCUUCUGCAACCUCCUCUUUCACCACCUCUAGACCACCAAAUGGCGAGCUGCGAGCAUCGAUAGACUCGUCUCUUCCUCCUUAUCACGCAUGUGGGAGUUGUUUACGACGAUUUGGCCGGAAAUGUGGAGAUCGAAGCCAACAUUUUUACUGUAGCAAAUUAGUCAACGCCGAUUUCCGGCCACCUCCAGUCAUAAACCCAGGUCCAUUAGAAGCGCCUUAAGCCGCUCUUCAUGCUCGCCAAGUCUCAUAACCCAGAUCGAAGCAUGGAGGAAGAAAGCAUAAUUGGAAAAUUUCACUGUACAUUGGAGUGCUUAAUUGUUCGGCUACUUCAAGGUGAUUGACGGUUUGAGUUGGUGGACGAUUGUGGAUCGUAUUUUGAGCUGAAUUGAAGACGCAGCGGGAUUAUCGAGCGGGAAAUCCUACAGGACAGGAGAACCAGGACGGUGAUCGUGCGGUUAGAGCAAUUGUUAGAGUUUUACAGCAAUUGUAAGUUGUGAGGUGCGUUAUGCUCAUUUAGAGCUUUACAAUAUUGCUUGUGAGAGUGAAUUGUAAUAAUGAACUCGAGGUUUCGAGAUUUGGAGUUUGUGUACCGUGUGGUGAAGUUAUAUUGAGAAAAAAAAAUUCAGAAUGUUUAUUUGAUUAAAUGGUUUAAUUC